rnacentral:rRNA from 1 species
CCUACGGGUGGCAGCAGUGAGGAAUAUUGGUCAAUGGACGAGAGCCUGAACCAGCCAAGUAGCGUGAAGGAUGACAGCCCUAUGGGUUGUAAACUUCUUUUAUAUGGGAAUAAAGUGUUCCACGUGUGGGAUUUUGUAUGUACCAUAUGAAUAAGGAUCGGCUAACUCCGUGCCAGCAGCCGCGUUAAUACGGAGGAUCCGAGCGUUAUCCGGAUUUAUUGGGUUUAAAGGGGGCGUAGGUGGUUUGUUAAGUCAGUUGUGAAAGUUUGGGGCUCAACCGUAAAAUUGCAGUUGAAACUGGGAGUCUUGAGUACAGGAGAGGUAGGCGGAAUUCGUGGUGUAGCGGUGAAAUGCUUAGAUAUCACGAAGAACUCCGAUUGCGAAGGCAGCUUACUGGACUGCAACUGACGCUGAGGCUCGAAAGUGUGGGUAUCAAACAGGAUUAGAUACCCUAGUAGUC